AAAUAUAACUAGGGGUGCUAAGUCAAUUACUUAGCUGAGAUCAUACCCUUCGAACCUGAAACAGUUAAAACUGACGCAGGAAAGUUUCAAUUUGAUCGA
rnacentral:ncRNA from 23 species